UACGAAGGGGGCUAGCGUUGCUCGGAAUCACUGGGCGUAAAGCGCACGUAGGCGGACUCUUAAGUCGGUGGUGAAAUCCUGGAGCUCAACUCCAGAACUGCCUUCGAUACUGAGAGUCUCGAGUCCGGGAGAAGUGAGUGGAACUGCGAGUGUAGAGGUGAAAUUCGUAGAUAUUCGCAAGAACACCAGUGGCGAAGGCGGCUCACUGGCCCGGUACUGACGCUGAGGUGCGAAAGCGUGGGGAGCAAACAGG
rnacentral:rRNA from 1 species